CCGUUGGCUUUAUUGACCGUGAGGGUUCAAGUCCCUCUACCCCCA
rnacentral:tRNA from 1 species